GACGAACGCUGGCGGCGUGCUUAACACAUGCAAGUCGAGCGGAAAGGCCCUUUCGGGGGUACUCGAGCGGCGAACGGGUGAGUAACACGUGAGUAAUCUGCCCAUGGCUUUGGGAUAGCCACCGGAAACGGUGAUUAAUACCGGAUACGACGAUCCUCCGCAUGGAGUGGUUGUUGAAAGUUUUUCGGCCAUGGAUGUGCUCGCGGCCUAUCAGCUUGUUGGUGGGGUAAUGGCCUACCAAGGCUUUGACGGGUAGCCGGCCUGAGAGGGUGACCGGUCACACUGGGACUGAGACACGGCCCAGACUCCUACGGGAGGCAGCAGUGGGGAAUAUUGGACAAUGGGCGGAAGCCUGAUCCAGCAACGCCGCGUGAGGGAUGACGGCCUUCGGGUUGUAAACCUCUUUCAGUACCGACGAAGCGUGAGUGACGGUAGGUACAGAAGAAGGACCGGCCAACUACGUGCCAGCAGCCGCAGUAAUAC
rnacentral:rRNA from 1 species